rnacentral:lncRNA from 1 species
UAGCUGUUAACCUAGGUGUCAAGUAUAAGGGAAAUCAUUGUUAUUCUUUAGAUAUUUUUGAAUAUUCAAAACAUUUCUUAAUGAAAUUGAAAUAAUUAUGUAACUUUUUGUCUUUGCUUAGGUUGUCCUGGGGUUUAAUGUAUACUGCAUUCAUCUUGGUCCUUUCCAUAGUCAUUACAAUUAUCAUAACAUCCACCCAAGUUAUACUCAUGACUGGCUUUAUGGUCAUAUUUACACUCUUAUUCUUAUAUGGCUUGUCUUUGGUAAGUUCAUAUGUUUAUUCACACUGUCUCCCUUUGAGUUCUUAGCUACAAAUAGUAAAUAUUAGUGUCCCUGUAGGUUAGUAUAGUCCCUUUUUUCGUGUCCAGUGUGUGGCAUGGUAUCCAUUCCUAGUUAUCCCUUCUCCUUCUAAUAUUCUUUCCAUAUUGCUCUUUCUUCUCUGAAUGAGAUCCUCUAAUUUCUUCUACCUGCCAGGAUGUUUUCUGCAGAAGUUGUAGAUAGAUACCCUUCCUUAGCAUAUUAAUUCAUUUUAAUUUUUCCAAGUUUAUAUUUGUACCCUAUCCUCAGGUCUUUCAGCUUCCGCCCACUUCCUCAACAACAAAAGUCCACUAUCUGAGUAAGGUCAAUAAGGAUCCUCUUUUAGAGAAAAAGAAGAAGAAGAAGAACUGUGAACAGAACAGAAUCACUAUGCCUUACUAUUUUCAUUCUCACUGAUAAAUAUUUUUCAUGAUAUAGAGAUCCUUAUACCAGUGGUUCUCAGUGAAGUAAAUGUCUGCCAUAGCUAAGUAAGUGUGUUCUCUCUUUCAGCUAGCUUUAUCAUUCCUGAUGAGUGUGCUGUUACAGAAAGCUGUCCUCACAAAUUUGUUUGUGUUUCUCCUCACCCUCUUUUGGGGGUUUGUGGGAUUCACUGCCUUCUAUAAACAACUUCCUCCAUCUGUACAGUGGAUUUUGAGUAUUUGUAGCCCUUUCGCCUUUAGAGUUGGAAUGACUCAGGUAAAAAUAUUGCUAAUUAAUUAUUGAACUUUCAAAAGAACUUGAUACUUCACAAGUGAUUAUAAGCAACACUAUUUUCAUCCAGGAACCUUUAAGCAGUUUUUCUACUUCAAAACUAACUUUGAAAAUGUUCACUUUUCAGUGUACUAAUUAAGUGCUUCACAAGUUUCUCACGUUAUAAGAUCUGUUUCAUUUGUCACAUUGAAGAUAUUUUGAGAUACUGCAGUGACUUUAUAAAAACAAGCACAUGAGUCCUUAUUUAAACAUCUAUACUUAGAACAUUGUAUUUUUUUAAACCAGUGUUUUUAAAUAAUAUUCUUUUGUUUACCCUAAAGUGGAUGUGCUUUUUCUAGUUGUUUUAUUUACUAAAAAGCUAGUUAGUAAUAAUAAUUCUAGUUUUAAUAAUAAUAGUAAUUCUAAUAAUUCUGAAAGUAAUAGUUCUAAUAAUUCUUGAUGCAACUUAUAUAUUUAUUAACUUAAAUAUAUAUUGUGAUUUUUGGUUGAAUCUUAGAUUCUCCACCUGGAUUAUAACUUGAAUGGAGUAGUUUUCCCUGACCCCUCAGAAAAAUCAUAUACAAUGCUAGCAACAUUUUCUGUGUUGGCUUUUGAUGGUCUUAUCUACUUGAUGCUGGCACUGUACUUUGACAAAAUCUUACCCCG